GAUGAACGCUGGCGGCGUGCUUAACACAUGCAAGUCGAACGAUGAAGCUCAGCUUGCUGGGUGGAUUAGUGGCGAACGGGUGAGUAACACGUGAGUAACCUGCCCUUAACUCUGGGAUAAGCCUGGGAAACUAGGUCUAAUACCGGAUAGGAGCGCCUACCGCAUGGUGGGUGUUGGAAAGAUUUAUCGGUUUUGGAUGGACUCGCGGCCUAUCAGCUUGUUGGUGAGGUAAUGGCUCACCAAGGCGACGACGGGUAGCCGGCCUGAGAGGGUGACCGGCCACACUGGGACUGAGACACGGCCCAGACUCCUACGGGAGGCAGCAGUGGGGAAUAUUGCACAAUGGGCGAAAGCCUGAUGCAGCGACGCCGCGUGAGGGAUGACGGCCUUCGGGUUGUAAACCUCUUUCAGUAGGGAAGUAGCGAAAGUGACGGUACCUGCAGAAGAAGCACCGGCUAACUACGUG
rnacentral:rRNA from 1 species